AAGUCGUAACAAGGUUUCCGUAGGUGAACCUGCGGAAGGAUCAUUAAAAAAUCUCUUUUAAUGAGCCGCAAGGCUCUAAUAUUUUGUGAACUUGUGUGUAGUAGUGUUUGUUUGUUUGUUGUUGUGGUAGGUAUGUGUACAGAUUUAUCAAUGUUGUGAUUCGUCACGACGAUAUUUGAUGUACACAUGAUAACAUGAUAAACAAUCAUAAUCAUCACUACUACAAACUUAUAAUAUAUAUGAUUUUGAUGUUGAGGAAAUAUUUAUUAUAUCAAUUAUAAUAUAUAUACAACUUUCAACAGUGGAUCUCUCGGCUCUU
rnacentral:misc_RNA from 1 species